rnacentral:misc_RNA from 1 species
GAACGCAAAUUGCGCUCUCGGGAUAGGCCUGAGAGCACGCCUCUUUGAGCAUCGAUUCUACCACAAGUCGACGACGUCCUUGCAAAAAGGGCGUGCAGUCGGACAUUGAGCUUUGCCAGCCGUUCGCGGCUCAGCUAGCUUUAAAUAGAGCGUGAUGCACAGCGAUCCUACUGUUCUUUGCAGGAGUAUCGGUGACGUGGAUAACUUCACAUUUUGUGAACCUUCCAAUACGUGACCGAAGCUCGUAAACUGCUUGAGCAGCAAGCCGCAAUUGUGCGUCCGAUCGUCACGCAAGUGACAACUCUUUUGAAUUAGAUCUCAAAUGAAGCGAGAAAACCCGCUGAACUUAAG